rnacentral:tRNA from 1 species
ACGGCAGUAGCUCAAUUGGUAGAGCAGCGGUCUCCAAAACCGCAGGUUAGGGGUUCGAUUCCUCUCUGCCGUG